rnacentral:lncRNA from 1 species
AAAGACUCCAAAAUACAGGUAAAAAAAAUACGAAAGAAAAAGAUCACAGGGGCUGCUCAUGUGGAGGGACUUGAUAAGCUGGAAUGUAAAAAGUCUGACUCAGAUUCAAAUUCAAAGUCGAGUGAUGAUUCUUCUUCCAAAUCUGAUUCCAAUUCAGAUUCUGAUAAGAAAUCUAAUCAUUCUGGUUUGAAAUCAGACUCGGAACCAAAAUCUAGUGAGGUAAUUAUAUUAUCUAAUUGAAAAAGCCCGGAUAUAAUAUAUAUCUGCUUACACUAGAUAGCUUGACAUAACAUUAUUAACUCUAUGAAAAAAAAAAAACAAAAGCUUGAUUCACUUAUCACUAUUUGUUACUCUUAAUACAUAAAAGUUCGUCCUAUAAAAAAAAAUCAAGUAAAAUUUUAUUAUGUCCAUAGUUUGUAUCUAUCUGCCUAAUAUUUCUAUAUCUGUCAUAGAUAUAGAAGGAUUUAUAACUGUAAAAUAACAAAAAGUAGUUCAAUACGCAAAUUUCUUUUUUUUCCUGCAAUCUAGUGACGGCAAAGACUCCAAAAUACAGGUAAAGAAAAUACGAAAGAAAAAGAUCACAAGGGCUGCUCAUGUGGAGGGACUUGAUAAGCUGGAAUGUAAAAAGUCUGACUCAGAUUCAAAUUCAAAGUCAAGCGAUGAUUCUUCUUCCAAAUCUGAUUCUGAUUCUGAUUCUGAUAAGAAAUCUAAUCAUUCUGGUUUGAAAUCAGACUCGGAACCAAAAUCCAAUGAGGUAAUUAU